ensembl:lncRNA
AGUGGUCACCAGCAGGAGACUCCCAGGUGCAAGUGGCUGCAAGAGACUUGCAUUUUUUAACAACUGAAAUCUUGACUGGAGGCCAACUCAAGUCAUAACUAUGAUUAACAAUAAUAGCUGGAAGCCUGCUUAAGCCAUGUAUUCCGAGGUCUGCAUUUUUCAAAAGCCUUACUCACAGGACAAUCCCAUGGCGAGGAACUAUUAAUAAGGCAGUUUCCGAUGAGAUACAAUUCAGUUACAACACAACAGUACUAGAAGUAUUUCUAUAAAGUUUGAAAUGUUUUUAAUAUGUACAUUCUUUCUUAGUAAAUAUUAAAGUAGUGCUUUUCUCUUGCACUUUUUUCAUUAGACUUCUAAAAGGGCAUCAGAAAUACAGUUUUCAACCCCCUCCAAACCAAUGCACAGUUGUUACCUUCGUAACAAGCACAUAUGAAUUCUGUACACCUUUCCCUCCCCACAAAAGAAAUAAAAAUAUGCCAUGACUAUCCAAUUACACAUCAUCACAACAGGUUUAAAUUACGCAUACAAAUAAUUCCAGAGUAUUUAGAAAAACCCAACAUAUUGGAUUUAUGAAACCAUUCCAUGCAUUCAACAACAAAUGAAAAGAAAAAAAGAAAAAAAAAUUAUUAAGUUUCUUUAAAUGGUGUUUUCUCUUUCUAUCCAAGUACCAAAGUCUGGAUUCAGUGUAUCAUUAAGACUAACCACUGCUUGAGUCAUAGAAACAUGACAGUACAUAGAUAACCAAGUUUCUAUUUAUAGACAAUAUGCUAUACAGUUACUACCUCUUUUAAUGAAUGUCAGAUAAAGCAAGUUUUGCUUUCUAAGACGUUGAAACUGCACAUUAAGAAAACAGUAAGAGGUGCUGCUAAAUAGGUAACAACAUUUUGAAAGGAAGGCUAUGUAUUUAUAUGAUCCUGCUUAGUAGGAGCAGUUAAUUAGCAGGGUUCCUAUGCUGUUAAGCUAGUUUGUUUCUUUUUCCCAGAAUGACAGGCUAUUCAAGAGCUAGAGCUGACUAACCCAGAAAUAUCACCAAUUUUAUCUUCAGGAGGACAAAAAAGAGUUUAUGCAGUGAAAGCCCCUGGGGGCAGUCUCUCUCAUUACAUAAAAUCUUUGUAUUUUCUACAAGAGAGGCUCGUAGCACAACAUACAGAUUGGAAACAGACAUUUCGGACAUACAUUACAAACCUGAAUUCAAAGGGUAUUCUUUUUAAUCUUUACUAUGAAGACGACAAGUAAAAUUAUAAUACUAUUUACAUGCAAAUGACUCUGCAUGAUUUUGUAAUGUCCUAUUUUUGUGUUUGCCUUAAGAUACUCCUUGAAAAGCUGUACUUCAAUUCUAAAUUUAUUUUACAUGAAUCUUGACAGGUAUUAGUCUCAGGCAUUACUCUCUCCCAGUAAAUAGAUCAAUACUGUCAAUAUGCUCAAUUUAUUUUAACAAAUCAAUGUAGAGUGUCUUAUGUUCCUGAUAUACAGGGGAUAAUUCCUGUGCUCAUUAGUAUCCAUUUAGUAGGAAAGCUCUCCAUAGCAAGGCGCAUUUUCAGUACAAUUAAAACCAGUUCGCUGCAUUAACUAUUUGCACCUUGCAAUACUGCUGAACUGCAGCCAAGUACAGUAGUACAAGAUCAUUGAUCAGUACCAUGUGUUUCAGCUGUUAACAAUUCUGUUUGUGCCACAAAACCAGAAGCCAAUCAUUUAAAAUAAAAAUAAUCUUGGCUCUUCUUUAACUGCAUUUAGCAGGUGAUGUUGGUUACCAUCCUUAUCAAACAAAUUUUGUAAAGGCUAUUUACAGUGUACAUGGCUGAGCAUGCACCUUACAGACACAAACACAUCUGCCAGUUUGAUACCAUGUAAUUACACAGUGCCUGAAAAUGACAACACAUCUUAAACACCAUUUUAAUUAACAGUUUCAAGCGGGAAAUGGUCUUUAUUUUACAACUGCUAUACUUGCAUGAGUUUUUAUUUUUUUUAAUAUAAAAACACUAACUCCUGUCCAGAAGUCUAGACACAUUCUACAUACUACAGGUUAAGGCAGUAAAAAAAUGUGUUCCUGAUAACUGGUCUUGACAAUGUCAAUUAAAGCUGUCUGAAGCCACUCCAGUUCUCCAACAGAGCUUUGAAAUCCCAAAUAAUUUGCAAGUUAAAAAAAAAAAAAAAAAAAAAAAAAAAAAAA